AACGUAGGUGGCGAGCGUUAUCCGGAAUUACUGGGCGUAAAGCGUGCGCAGGCGGCGGCUCAAGUCAGGUGUGAAAUCCCCGGGCUUAACCUGGGAAUUGCGCUUGAAACUAGGUCGCUAGAGUGUGGCAGAGGGGGGUAGAAGUUCCACGUGUAGCAGUGAAAUGCGUAGAUAUCUGGAGGAACACCGGUGGCGAAGGCGGCAUCCUGGACCGACACUGACACUGAGGAGCGAAAGCCAGGGGGAGCAAACGGG
rnacentral:rRNA from 1 species